rnacentral:rRNA from 1 species
UUGACCUCAAAUCAAGUAAGGAUACCCGCUGAACUUAAUCAUAUCAAUAAGCGGAGGAAAAGAAAACCAACAGGGAUUGCCUUAGUAACGGCAAGUGAAGCGGCAAAAGCUC